rnacentral:tRNA from 1 species
UAUCUUGAACCGGAUUUGAACCAGCGACUUAAAGGAUAGCCGUUGACACAUCUAAAGUCCUCCGCUCUGCCAACUGAGCUAUUGAGAG